rnacentral:lncRNA from 1 species
AUAUAUAUAUAUAUAUAUAGGGUCCGGCUACUAUACUAUUAUGAGUAUAAUCACUCUCGUACUUAUAAGUUGUUUUCGAUGAUAGAGCUUCCGAAUCGACGAUCCACACCGUUAAUUUAAUGGCCGGAAUGGAAUACUUUUUAAUUUAACGGUGUAAAAAAAUCAGAAUUUGUUGAUUUUUUGAUAGAAAAUUCUAUUUACUACAUAGAUAAAGAUCAAUAACUCCGAUCUUGAAUUAAAGGAUCCGAUUAUGGUUUUUUAAGAUGUUGUUCGAUUUUGACCGUUCAUUUUAUGCCCACUUGAUGGACUUUAUUAUGAUUUUAAAACUUUACGAAAUUUAUUUUCUAGAAGUUUCAAAUACUCUAGAUCAUAUUUAACGGAAUGGAUCGUCGAUUCGGAAGCUCCAUCAUCAAAAACAACUUAUGAGUACGAGGGCUCCAAUACUCAUAAUAGUAUAAUAGUAUAAUAGCGACAGCCACGUCCAUCCAU